GCAACAGCCAUGAUUGUCUCAGCAGUUACUUCCAAUACCUCUUCAGCAGUCUGUGCUUCUAUUAUAGCUUUGUUCAGGUUGAUUUCCUUCAUACGAUCAGAAGGUCCUGAAAACUGGGAUAGCCUCUGAGCUAAUUGCUCCUUCAUCUUCUCCUUCUUUUCCUCAAACAUUCCACCAGCUAAUGAGCUAACUCUCUUCCGUAGAUCCCCCAUCUUAUCCUCCACAAAUCCAUCUUCAAAAUCCAAAUCUUCGUCCUCGGUAUCAAAAUCAUCUUCUGGAAUACUUUUACUUUUGACCUUGUCUUUCUUUACAAUGACUUUCUUGCUCUUUUUCUUUUUCUUCUUCUUCAAUGGCAUCACCUCCGCCAUUCUAGAAGAUAACCCUCUUGCCUCAAUCGAUUUAAGUGCAAUUUUCCUUGCCCUUACACACCAAUCCAUCCCUUCAGUGUCCUCAAGCGCUUUCGAAUUCUUCUGCUUUUUCCUCUUCUUCGGAGGUUGAAUAUCCAACGGAUCAAUCUCCCCGAGAAACUCUGCUUCCCAGUCCCCAUCAUCAUCCUCUUCUUCCACUUCUUCCUCCGAGUUACCAAUCACAG